CAUGUACUCACUCUGUUUCGAAUUACUUGUCGCAGGUAUGGAUGUAUCUAGAUAUAUUUAGUUCUAGUUAUAUCCAUUUCUGCGACGAGUAAUUUGGAACGGAGUUAGUACAUC
rfam:Triticum aestivum genome assembly, contig: Triticum_aestivum_CS42_TGACv1_scaffold_004697_1AL